rnacentral:rRNA from 1 species
UCAAAUCAUCAUGCCCCUUAUGACCUGGGCUACACACGUGCUACAAUGGUUGGUACAACGAGUUGCGAGUCGGUGACGGCGAGCUAAUCUCUUAAAGCCAAUCUCAGUUCGGAUUGUAGGCUGCAACUCGCCUACAUGAAGUCGGAAUCGCUAGUAAUCGCGGAUCAGCACGCCGCGGUGAAUACGUUCCCGGGCCUU